rnacentral:rRNA from 1 species
AUUGAACGCUGGCGGCAGGCCUAACACAUGCAAGUCGAGCGGAUGAGAAGAGCUUGCUCUUCGAUUCAGCGGCGGACGGGUGAGUAAUGCCUAGGAAUCUGCCUGGUAGUGGGGGACAACGUUUCGAAAGGAACGCUAAUACCGCAUACGUCCUACGGGAGAAAGCAGGGGACCUUCGGGCCUUGCGCUAUCAGAUGUGCCUAGGUCGGAUUAGCUAGUUGGUGAGGUAAUGGCUCACCAAGGCGACGAUCCGUAACUGGUCUGAGAGGAUGAUCAGUCCCACUGGAACUGAGACACGGUCCAGACUCCUACGGGAGGCAGCAGUGGGGAAUAUUGGACAAUGGGCGAAAGCCUGAUCCAGCCAUGCCGCGUGUGUGAAGAAGGUCUUCGGAUUGUAAAGCACUUUAAGUUGGGAGGAAGGGCAGUAAGUUAAUACCUUGCUGUUUUGACGUUACCGACAGAAUAAGCACCGGCUAACUCUGUGCCAGCCGCCGUGGUAAUAC